UACAAAACUCUGACGUCUUCUUCUAAUCUGACUUUUGUAAGAAACACAGCUGAAGCUAGCUAGCUAAAAAGACAGCUUAGUGUCCAGCCACACGUCGACAUACAGCAGCUUUUGACGGAGAGCCGUGAUGGCCAAAAAGGUGUCUUUCUAGACCAUGUCCAGUUAAUUCUGUUGCCACAUGAGGACCCCAAUCAAGACACAUCUGAAGCCAAUGAAACCAAAGAGGAUGCACCUGAUCACAAUUUGCUGCCACAUAAAAGCUAAAUCCAGCAGCAGAGCUAGCAUGAGGCCUGAUCCCGGCAUCGGGUGCUCCAGGUGGGUCCUCUGACUCUCCCUCCGUCUCCAUCUCUCCCCAGUUCCUUGUUGUGAAGGUGGGUGGUGUUGGCUCCCUGGCAGUGAUUCUAGCACUUGGUGCUGGUGGCCACAUGUGGGUGGAACUUAUUUAUGCAGGCCAAACAGUCGGUCUGUUUCAGAGCAAACAUGAACUGCGUUCAAAUAGAAAACCUUCCUAAACUUUAGUAUGUUUUCACAUUAGACAGCGUUUGCCAUCCAAGUUAAAUUUAGAUUCUUUUACACCCGCUUCAGAAGAAGGCAGUGUAAAAUGCUUGUCACCCCAUGGAUGGAAGCCUUAGCAAGGUCACAAGUUUUCUCUUUGAAAGAGCUAGAGUGUCUCCAGCCCAGGACUCAUUUAACAGAUGCCAGCACAAAAAGGUGUGUUGAGAACGCAGCUUAUACAAAGCUCCUCUGUACACUUACGUCUCUCUGAUUAUGCCGAACCAGACGGAGCAGCACUGGUAGCUGGAAGGAAAACCAAGGAGUGGGAGUCAGGCAGACAAAUUGAGAUGGGCGAGUAGGAAGAAUGCAUUAGCAGUCCAAGUCCUGCCAUGGCUGCAGGGCUGGUAGCAGGAACACAGCACAAUAACUACCAAUCUGCACAAGGCUCCAGUCACUUCACUACACGUCCUUCUGUUAACACUGUUAAGUGCUGCUUAAAAGGACAUUUAAUAUGUAAGUGAGUAAAAAUACCAAGAGAUUUGAAUAGUUUUCAAUCACUGAGAAGCUGAAAAAUCAUGAACAAGCUAUGGAGUAAGACUGAUGUGUCCUCCAUGGAGACACAUCAUAUCCUGGAAUUCUGCUUCUUCACACUGUAUGUAGUAAUAUAGACUUAUUUAGUUCUGUUGUUUUCAUCAGGGUCUGUAAAACAAAUCAAACAACUAGCGUUUAGGGAGAGCGGGCACCUACUGGCCCAUACAAAUGCGCUGAUAAGUUCUGAUCAGCCCAUUCGUUAUGGCUGAUAACAUCCGAAGCGGGUGAAAAGAUACUGUGAUUUAGAGGAUGUGGCUGAUGACUGCAUCAGUUAAAAAGGGCACAGCCAGCAGAUGUGAGACGUGCUCUCUGCUCCAUCCCUUUAUUCCAGCCAGUCAAGGCAGAUGCCAGUCUGUCACACGUAUGGCACAGCCUUUGUUUAAAGACAGCAGUCACGGUAGUGUAGUGGUUAGCAUUCAACCCUCACACCAGGUGUGUGUGUAGUCUGGUUUCCUCCCACAGUCCGGUGACGUGCAAUUAGGCUGACUGGGAGUGUAAAUUAUGCAGGAGGGAGUUGUCGUCUACUUGGCCCAAUGCUGGACUGGCGAUCUGUCCAGGAUGAACCCUGCCACUCAGACAGGCUGCAUGCGGGGAAUGACAUCAUGAAUGAAGUGUAGGGUCUUAAUGAUUCCCCCUUCUACUGACAUCAUAAAGGAACUGAGGUUUGGGAAAAAAAGAAUAGUCCAUGAAUGUUGUAAUGAAAACACGUUUCUAUGUGCUAUGUAAAAUAAAUUAAGUGAAGGCCAGUGGGAGAUUCUAGGUCGACUGGUGGAAUGGACGAUUUAAGAAUAGGACCUGAUGGGGUACGAGGCAUUUUAAUGUUCUCAGCCCCAGUCAGGGUAAUCUCCUGUGCGGCUGAUGAGUCAGAACCUCUUGUUUGAGUCUGUUUUCAAGAGCUAAUCAGCAGCAUGGUCAUUCCACGUCCCCUGAGAUCUGAAGCUUACUGCUACUUAAUGACGGUGAAAACUAGCAUCUGUUUUCACUCCAACAGCCAAAAGAAGCAACAAUGAGCACAUUCACCAAAAACACAGUGACUCAACAAGUCACUUAAAGUCAUCUUCACACACACCUUCUGUGCUUUGCUCACUACUGUCUCACUCAAAGUAGAUGAGACAGUUCCAGAUGAGGCUCCCUGUGUUCCCUUUCAACACAAUGUUGUAUUCAGGCCAUUGAAUCUAGGAUUGUAGAUUAGAAUCUGUUGUUAUCUUAAACACAAUAGAUUUCCUUUGCAUUCACAUGUACAUGUAGCUGCAGUCCUCACCCCUGUGACAAGAUGCCUGAGCACAACGCUGGAACUGGAUGUCACUUGAAUUUACAGGAAGGGGGCUGACGAGGUGCUGCAAUGAGUGACCAUUCUGCACACAUCUCAGUUUCUCCCACACUGCUGAUCAUUGAGCCAAAGGAGGAGCUAUUAACAAGUAGAUGUGGGGGAUGUCUCCAUGUUAUUGUGUGGGGGUUAAAGUGCUGACGGACAUCACAGCGACGAGAACAACAGCCUUCUGUUGUUCUGCAUUUACAGGCUACACGCUGUUUCAGCGUUGCUGGUUUCUAAGGCCUCGCUGCAAGACGAGGCUUAUUUAACACUUCCAACAACACCAUCGUUUUUUACUGAGCUCAAUAUUAGCAUUGGAUUCUUAAGCAAACCUGUAUGAGGCAUUCUGGCACCUGCUGCGCAUGCUGCACCUGUGACACUGUAGAACAAAGUCCAUGCUGCUUGUGGCUGCUGAUUACUGUAUAGUAGAAUAAAAGCUGUUAAAUGAAUGAUGAAUCCAUCUCUUCUGGACUGAUGCCUGUGCUGCUGUAACAAUUAAUCUCCUCCUCCUGGAUCAAUAAACCUUUAUGUCAGAAAGCAGAUCUCUUUUUAUUUUGGAACACUACACUUACUUAAAUAACAGGAGAUUAACAAAUUACAUAGUGAACCACUAAACCUCAGUUUUGUAUUAACGUGCUACAGGAACCAAUCAUUAACAAGAUGAUUCAUUUAGCUACAAUAUAGUGAUACUAGGUUUUCACAUUAUGUUGUAAUCCCACAUCCUAUGCAGAAGAAGUGAUCUGUCACUCAGACUGUCUAGUAA